rnacentral:rRNA from 1 species
GACGAACGCUGGCGGCGUGCCUAAUACAUGCAAGUCGAACGAGAGCGACCGGUGCUUGCACUGGUCAAUCUAGUGGCGAACGGGUGAGUAACACGUGGGUAACCUGCCCAUCAGAGGGGGGUAACAUCCGGAAACGGAUGCUAAAACCGCAUAGGUCUUCGAGCCGCAUGGCUUGAAGAGGAAAAGAGGCGCAAGCUUCUGCUGAUGGAUGGACCCGCGGUGCAUUAGCUAGUUGGUGAGGUAACGGCUCACCAAGGCCGUGAUGCAUAGCCGACCUGAGAGGGUGAUCGGCCACAUUGGGACUGAGACACGGCCCAAACUCCUACGGGAGGCAGCAGUAGGGAAUCUUCCGCAAUGGACGCAAGUCUGACGGAGCAACGCCGCGUGAGUGAAGAAGGUUUUCGGAUUGUAAAACUCUGUUGUUAGAGAAGAACAAGUGCUAGAGUAACUGUUGGCGCCUUGACGGUAUCUAACCAGAAAGCCACGGCUAACUACGUGCCAGCAGCCGCGGUAAUACGUAGGUGGCAAGCGUUGUCCGGAUUUAUUGGGCGUAAAGCGAGCGCAGGCGGUUCCUUAAGUCUGAUGUGAAAGCCCCCGGCUCAACCGGGGAGGGUCAUUGGAAACUGGGGAACUUGAGUGCAGAAGAGGAGAGUGGAAUUCCAUGUGUAGCGGUGAAAUGCGUAGAUAUAUGGAGGAACACCAGUGGCGAAGGCGACUCUCUGGUCUGUAACUGACGCUGAGGCUCGAAAGCGUGGGUAGCAAACAGG